rnacentral:rRNA from 1 species
CCCUUAGACGUUCUGGGCCGCACGCGCGCUACACUGACCAGUGCAACAAGCAUCCGUCCUUGGCCGACAGGCCCGGGCAAUCUUUGAACGCUGGUCGUGAUGGGGAUAGACUUUUGCAAUUUUUGGUCUUCAACGAGGAAUUCCUAGUAAACGCAAGUCAUCAACUUGCAUUGAUUACGUCCCUGCCCUUUGUACACACCGCCCGUCGCACCUACCGAUUGAAUGGUCCGGUGAAGCCUCCGGAUUGGCGCGCACCUCGGUGCCGCCGAGAAGUUGGCUAAACCUUACCAUAUAGAGGAAGGUGAAGUCGUAACA